UAACUUUGCAGUCUGAGUAAACUUAAUUAAUAAAUUAAAACUUUUAACAACGGAUCUCUUGGUUCUG
rnacentral:rRNA from 1 species